UGAGGAAUAUUGGUCAAUGGGGGCAACCCUGAACCAGCCAAGUCGCGUGAAGGAUGAAGGUCUUAUGGAUUGUAAACUUCUUUUAUACAGGAAUAAAUUGGGGGACGUGUCCCCUUUUGCAUGUACUGUAUGAAUAAGGAUCGGCUAACUCCGUGCCAGCAGCCGCGGUAAUACGGAGGAUCCGAGCGUUAUCCGGAUUUCUUGGGUUUAAAGGGUGCGCAGGCGGGAUGUUAAGUCGGCGGUGAAAUUUUGCAGCUCAACUGUAAAAGUGCCCUCGAGACUGGCCUCCUUGAGUGUGGAUGAAGUAGGCGGAAUUUGUGGUGUAGCGGUGAAAUGCUUAGAUAUCACGAGGAACUCCGAUUGCGCAGGCAGCUUACUAGGCCACAACUGACGCUCAUGCACGAAGGCGUGGGGAUCAAACA
rnacentral:rRNA from 1 species